ensembl:lncRNA
ACAGCAAGUGCAAUGGACUAAACAGCAAUGGCCUAAAUAACAAUGGUCUAAACAGCAAUGGCCUAAACAGCAAUGGUCUAAACAGCAAUGGCCUAAACAGCAAUGGCCUAAACAGACUGCAUUUAAAGUAUCAAUGUAUUCAUAUCGCUGAGGGAGAAAAAAAGGCAGCAGCAGCAAAAACAGGAAAUGCUGUUAAACAGAAAGUUCAUACCAAAUACGUCAGAAAGCCCCAGAACCGCAUACGCUUUAUUUCAAGAACUGCCAUCUCUAAGUUUAGCCUGAGCAACAAUUGGUUUACUGUCUACAGGCUUGGCUCUCACAAGUUGUGCGAUGAUUAUCCUACUAAUUAUUCUUGUUGUAAUUACUGCGACUGAGGAGCAUCCCACAGUUACAGCUAGAGAUCCGGUAUAUCCUGCACGCGUUUUUGGACCUUCUUCACAUGUUAAAGUGGGGGAAUGUUUUGAGCUGAAGUGCAGCACAUUUGGAACGAAGAAUGAAGGGGAAAAACGCUUUGUUUACCUCUGCAAGAAUGGAGUCGCCAUAGAGAUGUCCCAGACCAAAAGUCAAGACUCCUCUUUCCUAAUGAAAAGUGCCACUAAGGAACAUACAGGAAACUACAGUUGUCUGUCCUCCAGAACAGAACAGAAUGUCAGUGAGGUGAAAGGAGAUGGAGAGAAUUCCAUCUUCAUCCAAGUGAUUGAUAGAGUAUACCCAGCAGUGAUAGCUGGUGAAACAUCUGUGAGAUCAGGGACAGAUGUGGAUUUCAACUGCACCUCAGAAGAUGCCCCAGACACAGGCCUCCUUUUGGCAUUCCUCUGGAGGAAUCAAACCAUCGUUGACAUUGAAAUGUGGAAUUCUCAGCAGAAACAGGCUAGUUUCCAUCUAAUAGGAGUCCAGGAGAGAGACUCGGGCAACUAUAGCUGUGUGGUAUCAGAGCGACCGCUUGCUGCAACAGAGUUGGACAUGUGUGGAGGGAAUUCAGUCUUCCUGCAGGUUUACGGGAAACCAAAUGAAGAGUCACCUGCCGCCCCAUCCGGUUGCAUAAUGAUGGCCGCUCAGUUUCUGCUAAUCCCCCUGCUCCUUCUUGCGCUGCUGAUUUUACUGAUGUGGAAGAAAGGGACAUUCAGGCGAUGGAAAUCUCCACAGAGCACAACUGAGCAGCAUUGUCUAGAUUUGGCUAACACAGGACUGCCUGCACAUGGACGAUCACUUGAGGCAACAAGUGAAGAGCCUGCUGUGGACAGGACUGAUACGGGGAUGUGUGACAGACAACAAAAUCUCAAUCAAGGAGAGGACAUGGGCCCCACUGAAUGGAGUGAUAAUUCUGCCGAUGAUUCUGACGACUAUGUCAACGAUACCUAUCAGGAAAUUGGCUAAUACCAGGAUAUAUGCAAGAUGAGACGGAGCCCCUGAUGAAGGAGCCGCAAGACCUUAUGCCACAGUGUCGAAGAAAAGAAAGAAAAAGAAACCAGAGCCACUGUAUUCAAUUGUUCUUCAGUAGUUUUUGUUUCUAUUCUGAAAAUGCAGUGUAACAGUUUGUUAUCAUGUUAUUUGAAAGCUCCUUGAUCAAUGCGAACUUUGUUGUGUAAUGAUUUGCCAUGAUUUCUCAUUUUCACCACCCGAACAUAUGAAUGUGUGAAUACGCAAUAAAUCAUACAAGUGCAAUUUACAUGUUAAUUUGAUUAUAUGUUAAUACUUUAGAUGAAAUGAUGAUUCAGUGGAUUAGGCAGAGGUACUCUGUAUUUUAUACACAUCUGUGCUUCUCACAUACCGGCGAGGUCAGGAUGUUGACCCAGUUGAGUUUGGAAUUACGGGCACAGGACCUCAAGCCUAAGGGAUGUGGGAUUGGUGCACUGACUGACAAACACACAUGUUUAUAAAACUUCUCUUGUUUGUAUAUUAAUUAAACAACACAUGAAUCUUAUGAUGAUUAUGCUCUGGGUCAAUUUUUAAUAAAUGUAUUCAGUUGGGAAAAAGGCAAUAGUGUUUCAUUUCUGAAGAUGAUGCUAUCUCUGAAAGGUAAAUGGG